AUAUCUAUUUAAUUCUGGUUGUAGAAGGGGGAUAAGCAGCACCACAUAAAAGUAGUUUGUGUGUGUACAUAAGAUAGGCUUUCUUGUGUGAUUAGUGGUUAAAUCUUAGGUUUCGGGGAAACCCGGAUUAGGCUGUUUAUUAGGGAGCGGUGAAUACACAGUGCCAGCAUCCGCGGUUAUUCUGUUAGCUUUUUCUUCGGCGAUAGGUGUAAAUUAGAUAGAAAUUAUUAUCUAGUUUUGAGUAGAAUCUUACUAGUCUUGAGAUGAGUUUCUAGAAGGUUUGACUGUUGUAUUUAUUAAUGGGAUUAGAUACCCCUGUAAUAGGAUUUAAGUUUUACUCCUUAGUAUAAACUAAAAGGAUUUGGCAGCCGAUGAGGUUCUUCCGGGGGAACGUGUGCUGUAAAAGAUAGUCCGCUUAUGAGUUAACCUUUUUUAGUUUAGUUAGUGUAUAUCCGAUUUAAAAUUUGUGGUUGGUAUCAAUGAGUGUCACGGAUUGUUUAAGUCAGGUCUAUGUGCUGCUUAUAUUAAGGUGUGUUCAUGCGUUACGUUAUUAAAUGUGCUGUUCAGGAUAGUAUCAGUAGUAUUUAGGACUCGGAAGUAGGCUUUCAAAGAUAGUAUUUUUGGUCGAAGUUGAUUUAGUUGGGGUACACACCGCCCGUCACCCAGGGCGUUAGCUGUGGUAAGUCGUAACAUGGUAAUGCUAGGGGAACCUGGUGUUAGUUGAUUC
rnacentral:rRNA from 1 species